UCCCUAUCUGGAAGGUUGAACACACUUGC
rnacentral:piRNA from 1 species